rnacentral:rRNA from 1 species
UGUAGUCAUAUGCUUGUCUCAAAGAUUAAGCCAUGCAUGUCUAAGUAUAAGCAAUUUAUACAGUGAAACUGCGAAUGGCUCAUUAAAUCAGUUAUCGUUUAUUUGAUAGUUCCUUUACUACAUGGUAUAACUGUGGUAAUUCUAGAGCUAAUACAUGCUUAAAAUCUCGACCCUUUGGAAGAGAUGUAUUUAUUAGAUAAAAAAUCAAUGUCUUCGGACUCUUUGAUGAUUCAUAAUAACUUUUCGAAUCGCAUGGCCUUGUGCUGGCGAUGGUUCAUUCAAAUUUCUGCCCUAUCAACUUUCGAUGGUAGGAUAGUGGCCUACCAUGGUUUCAACGGGUAACGGGGAAUAAGGGUUCGAUUCCGGAGAGGGAGCCUGAGAAACGGCUACCACAUCCAAGGAAGGCAGCAGGCGCGCAAAUUACCCAAUCCUAAUUCAGGGAGGUAGUGACAAUAAAUAACGAUACAGGGCCCAUUCGGGUCUUGUAAUUGGAAUGAGUACAAUGUAAAUACCUUAACGAGGAACAAUUGGAGGGCAAGUCUGGUGCCAGCAGCCGCGGUAAUUCCAGCUCCAAUAGCGUAUAUUAAAGUUGUUGCAGUUAAAAGGCUCGUAGUUGAACUUUGGGCCCGGUUGGCCGGUCCGAUUUUUUCGUGUACUGGAUUUCCAACGGGGCCUUUCCUUCUGGCUAACCUUGAGUCCUUGUGGCUCUUGGCGAACCAGGACUUUUACUUUGAAAAAAUUAGAGUGUUUCAAAGCAGGCGUAUUGCUCGAAUAUAUUUAGCAUGGAAUAAUAGAAUAGGGACGUUUUGGUUCUAUUUUGUUGGUUUCUAGGGACCAUCGUAAAUGAUUAAUAGGGACGGUCGGGGGGCAUCAGUAUUCCAAUUGUCAGAGGUGAAAUUCUUUGGAUUUUAUUUGAAGAC